rnacentral:rRNA from 1 species
GACGAACGCUGGCGGCGUGCCUAAUACAUGCGAGUAGAACGCACAGUUUAUACCGUAGCUUGCUACACCAUAGACUGUGAGUUGCGAACGGGUGAGUAACGCGUAGGUAACCUGCCUGGUAGCGGGGGAUAACUAUUGGAAACGAUAGCUAAUACCGCAUAAUAUUGAUUAUUGCAUGAUAAUUAAUUGAAAGGUGCAAUUGCACCACUACCAGAUGGACCUGCGUUGUAUUAGCUAGUAGGUGAGGUAACGGCUCACCUAGGCGACGAUACAUAGCCGACCUGAGAGGGUGAUCGGCCACACUGGGACUGAGACACGGCCCAGACUCCUACGGGAGGCAGCAGUAGGGAAUCUUCGGCAAUGGACGAAAGUCUGACCGAGCAACGCCGCGUGAGUGAAGAAGGUUUUCGGAUCGUAAAGCUCUGUUGUAAGAGAAGAACGGGUGUGAGAGUGGAAAGUUCACACUGUGACGGUAGCUUACCAGAAAGGGACGGCUAACUACGUG